UAGAGUUUGAUCAUGGCUCAGGACGAACGCUGGCGGCGUGCCUAAUACAUGCAAGUCGAACGCUUCUUUCCUCCCGAGUGCUUGCACUCAAUUGGAAAGAGGAGUGGCGGACGGGUGAGUAACACGUGGGUAACCUACCCAUCAGAGGGGGAUAACACUUGGAAACAGGUGCUAAUACCGCAUAACAGUUUAUGCCGCAUGGCAUAAGAGUGAAAGGCGCUUUCGGGUGUCGCUGAUGGAUGGACCCGCGGUGCAUUAGCUAGUUGGUGAGGUAACGGCUCACCAAGGCCACGAUGCAUAGCCGACCUGAGAGGGUGAUCGGCCACACUGGGACUGAGACACGGCCCAGACUCCUACGGGAGGCAGCAGUAGGGAAUCUUCGGCAAUGGACGAAAGUCUGACCGAGCAACGCCGCGUGAGUGAAGAAGGUUUUCGGAUCGUAAAACUUCUGUUGUUAGAGAAGAACCAAGGACCGUUAGUAACUGAACGUCCCCCCUGACGGUUCUACGAAGCCGA
rnacentral:rRNA from 1 species